rnacentral:rRNA from 1 species
CCCUUAGAUGUUCUGGGCCGCACGCGCGCUACACUGAUGCAUUCAACGAGUUUUUCCUGGUCCGAGAGGAAUGAGUAACCUUUUGAAAGUGCAUCGUGCUAGGGAUAGACUAUUGCAAUUAUUAAUCUCCAACGAGGAAUUCCUAGUAAACGCAAGUCAUCAGCUUGCAUUGAAUACGUCCCUGCCCUUUGUACACACCGCCCGUCGCACCUACCGAUUGAAUGGUCCGGUGAAAUCUUCGGACUCUGUGUUUAUUGAUUAGUUUCAAUUUACUACUGGAGAAAGUUGAGUAAACCUUACCAUUUAGAGGAAGGUGAAGUCGUAACA